UACGGAGGGUGCAAGCGUUAAUCGGAAUUACUGGGCGUAAAGCGCACGCAGGUGGCUGAGUCAGUCGAUUGUGAAAGCCCUGGGCUUAACCUGGGAAUUGCAGUCGAUACUACUCAGCUAGAGUAUGGGAGAGGGUAGUGGAAUUCCCGGUGUAGCGGUGAAAUGCGUAGAUAUCUGGAGGAACAUCGGUGGCGAAGGCGGCAUCCUGGACCGGUAUUGACGCUGAGACGCGAAAGCGUGGGGAGCAAACAGGG
rnacentral:rRNA from 1 species